GACCCCGUAGUUCAAUGGAUAGAACAAGGCACUCCUAAGGCUUAGAUACAGGUUCGAUUCCUGUCGGGGUCACCA
rnacentral:tRNA from 1 species